GGGACAUACUGUGGAGUUACUGGGUGGCCACCAUUUCCUGUAUCAGAAGCACAUGGUGAGAACAAUGGAUGGCGGCCAUUUUAACUCACAGACACUUUUCAACACGGUGCCAUCUCGCCAGUAUUUGGUGCACAGAGACAUGGUGCAGUGGUUUUGGACUAUACAGCAGGGGACACAUUAUAAAGUGAUUGUUUUUCAUUUAGCCUGUAUAUGUUCUGCAGAAUCUGCAUUAAACUGUAUCUUCCAAAGUACUGAACGGAUCUGGGUGAAUUUUGGAUAUGUGGUUCACCCAUAUCCCCCGGUUCCAAGGAUAUAUGGGGUUAUUGCAUGUUUUGGGGUCCCUGUGUGUUUUAUGAAACUGUAUUAUUU